GAAAAUGAGUUAAAAUUCUCUAUAGCGUAGAACAUGAUUUAAGAUUUCACAAUAAAACUAACAGCAGCCUCUUGGAGGUGUGGUUCCAUAGUUGUUUUCUUUAAUAGUUUGUUUGCAAGUUUUCACAUAUUAGUAUGUAUACGCCUAAAUUUGUAAGCAUACCAGUGAAAAAUCAUGAAAUUUUUCUAAUAAACUUGUACCAGAUAAUCAACAUGGCAUAAGAAAACUUGUGUUUUCUGCAAUUGCUAGGUGUAGUAACAUUGCACGGAUACCAUAGUCAUAAAAUUUGGUUAGUUGACAUGAGAGGGGCUAGUUUGUAAAGGCCUUUGUGUGUGAGUUAGUGACUGUUAUGGAAAGGUUUAGUGUUAAAGCAGUAGUUUUUAGUUACUAAACUUAUUUCUAAAUUCUGGUGCAUAUACGUUUCUUUAGAACUCCACUAGUGAUUACUUCAUCGUCCAGCUCUAGAACUAGCUCAUGACCUUCUUGAUCACAACUUACACCUGGCUAGAGGCAACAAUUGAUGUUUAGAUCCUAUCUAACCAGUUUGGUUGAUUUAGAAGAAUCGAAUGUAAAGUUGUUGAGUGUCUUUUGGUAAGUAGUUUACAAUAUAGUGUAUGAUCACCUGUAUCUUGUCACGCCAGUUUCCUAGGAAGGGAAUACUUAAACUAUUUGUUUUGAUAGAACACAUUUCAUCUUUGGUUUCAGUGUGUGAGCACUACCACAAAUUUGCAAUUUGUCAGCUUGAAGGUCCAAUUGAAGGUGAGACCGGGAAGGCUCAUAGAGCAAAUUUUCGUGACUGUGAUGGGAGAACUAUUCUUAUCUUGAGAGUGGGAAUGCAUGUGAUUUAAAACACCAACUCUAAGUAUUUAAAAUAUGUAUUUCAAUAAUUACUGAAAGAAAUUCUUGAAUGAUUUUUCAUAGUUUGAAAGUCUCUAGUUUCCUCCCAGGUAAGUUUUCUUCCAUUACCGCUAACUUCCAGACUGUAGCUAUGCUUUCA
rnacentral:lncRNA from 1 species